GGCUUCAGAAUCAACGCUGGCGGCGUGCCUAACACAUGCAAGUCGAACGCGAAAGUGGCUUCGGCCGCGAGUAGAGUGGCAAACGGGUGAGUAACGCGUGGGUGACCUGCCUUCGAGUGGGGGAUAACGUUUCGAAAGGAACGCUAAUACCGCAUGAUAUCCCGUCCUUGAACGGAUGGAGAUCAAAGCUGGGCCGCAAGGUCUGGCGCUUGAAGAGGGGCCCGCGUCCGAUUAGCUAGUUGGUGAGGUAAUGGCCCACCAAGGCUUCGACCGGUAGCCGGCCUGAGAGGGCGGACGGCCACACUGGGACUGAGACACGGCCCAGACUCCUACGGGAGGCAGCAGUGGGGAAUUGUUCGCAAUGGGCGCAAGCCUGACGACGCAACGCCGCGUGGAGGACGAAGACCUUCGGGUCGUAAACUCCUGUCGAGCGGGACGAAUGGCCCGCGGUCUCAUACACCGCGGGAGUGACGGUACCGCUAAAGGAAGCCCCGGCUAACUCCGUGCCAGCAGCCGCGGUAAUACGGGGGGGGCAAGCGUUGUUCGGAAUUACUGGGCGUAAAGGGCUCGUAGGCGGCCGACUAAGUCAGACGUGAAAUCCCUUGGCUUAACCAAGGAACUGGGUCUGAUACUGGUUGGCUUGAAUCCGGGAGAGGGAUGCGGAAUUCCAGGUGUAGCGGUGAAAUGCGUAGAUAUCUGGAGGAACACCGGUGGCGAAGGCGGCAUCCUGGACCGGCAUUGACGCUGAGGAGCGAAAGCCAGGGGAGCAAACGGGAUUAGAUACCCCGGUAGUCCUGGCCCUAAACGAUGAAUGCUUGGUGUGGCGGGUAUCGAUCCCUGCCGUGCCGAAGCUAACGCGAUAAGCAUUCCGCCUGGGGAGUACGGUCGCAAGGCUGAAACUC
rnacentral:rRNA from 1 species